rnacentral:rRNA from 1 species
ACAUAUUAUCAUGACGUAUCACGAGAAAAUCGUCUAUCGCGUGCGCUGACGUCGCGAAGUCUCGUGACACCAGAAACGUCGAACACACCAGCUGUCUGUAGACGUCACAGGGAGCAGUAAGCGGAUCAGGGAGCAUCACAAGCCUGUCAGGGGGCGUCAGCGGGGGUUGGCUGUGUGGCAUCAGAGCUGAUUAUGCUGAUGCUGUGAGAGAAAAUACAGAUUCGUAAGGAGAAAACCAUUCAUCAGGCGCCAUUCGCCAGACGGGCUAUGCAUGUGUUCGGAAGGGCGAUCGGUGCAGGCCUCUAAAGUAGGAUGCCAGGCAAGGAAAGGAAGAUGUGUAACAACAGGAUUAAGCUAGGCAACACCAGGGUUAUCGCAGUCCAGUGGCAAUAAAACGUCGGCCAAGGUCAAGGAUGCAUGCAGGCAGGUCGACGGAGGGAUCAGGUGAACCUGCGGAAGGAUCAUUACAGAAAGUAAACGCGGGUCAUACCGCGAACUUCUAAACCUGGCGAGACGGUCUCACGUUGCCUCGGCGGGUUCGCCCGCCAGAGGAUACAUCAAAACUCCUGUUUUAAUACAUGUUGGUUGAGGUACAAGCAAAUAAUCAAACUUUUCAACAAACGGGAUCUCUUGGUUCUGGCAUCGAUGAAGAACGCAGCGAAAUGCGAUAAGUAGGUGAAUUGCAGAAUUCAGUGAAUCAUCGAAUCUUUGAACGCACAUUGCGCCCCUUGGCAUUCCGCAGGGCAUGCCUGUUCGAGCGUCAUUUCACCACUCAAGCCCGGCUUGGUGUUGGGCCUCGUCGGAGACGGGGGCCCUCCAAGUCACGGUCGGCGGCGUGGCGCCGGUAAUAAGAGUAGCAGAAUCCUUCGCUUGGAAAGUCGGAGCCCCGUCCGCCGGAAGACCUACUUGCAAGGUUGACCUCGGAUCAGGCAGGGAUACCCGCUGAACUUAAGCAUAUCAAUAAGCGGAGGA